GUCCACACCGUAAACGUUGGGCGCUAGGUGUGGGAUCCAUUCCACGGGUUCCGUGCCGCAGCUAACGCAUUAAGCGCCCCGCCUGGGGAGUACGGCCGCAAGGCUAAAACUCAAAGGAAUUGACGGGGGCCCGCACAAGCGGCGGAGCAUGCGGAUUAAUUCGAUGCAACGCGAAGAACCUUACCUGGGUUUGACAUGCGCCGGAAAGCUCUAGAGAUAGAGCCCCUUUUAGUCGGUGUACAGGUGGUGCAUGGCUGUCGU
rnacentral:rRNA from 1 species